GCGAAGAGGUCACACCCGUUCCCAUGCCGAACACGGAAGUUAAGCUCUUCAGCGCCGAUGGUAGUCGGGGGUUUCCCCCUGUGAGAGUAGGACGCCGCCAAGC
rnacentral:rRNA from 5 species